AAUCAACGCUGGCGGCGCGCUUAACACAUGCAAGUCGAACGAGAAAGUGGGGCAACCCAUGAGUACAGUGGCGUACGGGUGAGUAACACGUGGGUGAUCUAACUCUUAGUGGGGAAUAACGCUGGGAAACCGGCGCUAAUACCGCAUAAGCCCGAGAGGGGAAAGCAGCAAUGCGCUGAGAGAGGAGCCCGCGGCCGAUUAGCUGGUUGGUGGGGUAAAAGCCCACCAAGGCAAAGAUCGGUAGCCGGCCUGAGAGGGCACACGGCCACACUGGCACUGAGACACGGGCCAGACUCCUACGGGAGGCAGCAGUGGGGAAUCUUGCACAAUGGGGGAAACCCUGAUGCAGCGACGCCGCGUGAGCGAUGAAGCCCUUCGGGGUGUAAAGCUCUUUCGGCAGGGAAGAUAAUGACGGUACCUGCAGAAGCAGCUGCGGCUAACUACGUGCCAGCAGCCGCGGUAAUACGUAGGCAGCGAGCGUUGUUCGGAGUUACUGGGCGUAAAGGGUGUGUAGGCGGUCCUUUAAGUUUGGUGUGAAAUCUCCCGGCUCAACUGGGAGGGUGCGCCGGAUACUGAGGGGCUGGAGUGCGGGAGAGGAGAGUGGAAUUCCUGGUGUAGCGGUGAAAUGCGUAGAUAUCAGGAGGAACACCGGCGGUGUAAACGGCUCUCUGGACCGCAACUGACGCUGAGACACGAAAGCGUGGGGAGCAAACAGGAUUAGAUACCCUGGUAGUCCACGCCCUAAACGAUGCACAUUUGGUGUGGGUCAUUCAGUUGAUCCGUGCCGGAGCUAACGCGUUAAAUGUGCCGCCUGGGGAGUACAGUCGCAAGGCUGA
rnacentral:rRNA from 1 species